AUUCUUGGUCAUUUUAGAGGAAGUAAAAGUCGUAACAAGGUUUCCGUAGGUGAACCUGCGGAAGGAUCAUUAUUGAAUGAACUCGGCAGACUGUUGCUGGCCUCUCGGGGCAUCGUGCACGUCUGCCCAUGUCAUCUUUAUAUCUCCACCUGUGCACCUUUUGUAGACCUGGAUUCAGUUUUCCGAGGURACUCGGUCGUGAGGAACUGCUUAACGGCUUUCCUUGUUAGUUUCCAGGCCUAUGUUUUCAUAUACACCAUACGAAUGUAACAGAAUGUCAUUAUUAGGCUUAAAGGGCCUAUAAACCUUUAUACAACUUUCAACAACGGAUCUCUUGGCUCUCGCAUCGAUGAAGAACGCAGCGAAAUGCGAUAAGUAAUGUGAAUUGCAGAAUUCAGUGAAUCAUCGAAUCUUUGAACGCACCUUGCGCUCCUUGGUAUUCCGAGGAGCAUGCCUGUUUGAGUGUCAUUAAAUUCUCAAUCCAUAUGAUUUCUUGACCACAUGAACUUUUUGGUUAGCAAAUGGCUUGGAUGUGGGGGUAUGCAGGUUUCUCUAUUGAAAUUAGCUCCCCUGAAAUACAUUAGCUGGUUGCCUUGUGUAAACUUGUCUAUUGGUGUGAUAAUUAUCUACGCCGUGGACUAUUUGCCGUUUUUAGCACUGCUUAYAAUCGUCUGUUCAUUCGGACAAUAUAAAUCAGGUAGGACUACCCGCUGAACUUAAGCAUAUCAAUAAGCGGAGGAAAAGAAACUAACAAGGAUUCCCCUAGUAACUGCGAGUGAAGCGGGAAAAGCUCAAAUUUAAAAUCUGGCAGUCUUUGGCUGUCCGAGUUGUAAUCUAGAGAAGUGCCAUCCGCGCUGGACCGUGUACAAGUCUCCUGAAU
rnacentral:sRNA from 1 species